UACACAUUUCCAUCAUAGCGACCAAGAACUGAGCCAAGGUAGUGAUCAGUGUAGUUAAAUGCAUCAACAAGUGCAAUGGCAUUUGGACGGACCUGGGAAUAUAAAGAUCUGAGCUGAUCAUUUGCAAGUGAAGAUUGCUUGGGUGUGAUGCAUCCGGUGGAUAGAAAAUCACCCAGAUGUUUGUGAAGGAGGUUCAAAGC
rnacentral:misc_RNA from 1 species